rnacentral:snoRNA from 2 species
ACCCUCUCAGGGUCGCACCUGGAGAGUCUCCAGUACUCUAACAGUCUCGACUACAGGAGGGAGAGUCAAGCAGAGGCCUACCCACUCCAUUCCUAGCUUGGACAGUGGCUAGUGAGUGGAAGGCAAUCUGCUACCAGU